rnacentral:rRNA from 1 species
UGGCUCAGAGUGAACGCUGGCGGCAGGCCUAACACAUGCAAGUCGAGCGGCAGCGGGUCCUUCGGGAUGCCGGCGAGCGGCGGACGGGUGAGGAAUACAUCGGAAUCUGCCCUGUCGUGGGGGAUAACCUAGGGAAACUUAGGCUAAUACCGCAUACGACCUACGGGUGAAAGCGGGGGAUCGCAAGACCUCGCGCGAUAGGAUGAGCCGAUGUCCGAUUAGCUAGUUGGCGGGGUAAAGGCCCACCAAGGCGACGAUCGGUAGCUGGUCUGAGAGGAUGAUCAGCCACACUGGGACUGAGACACGGCCCAGACUCCUACGGGAGGCAGCAGUGGGGAAUAUUGGACAAUGGGCGCAAGCCUGAUCCAGCCAUGCCGCGUGGGUGAAGAAGGCCUUCGGGUUGUAAAGCCCUUUUGUCCGGGAAGAAUCGUCUGGGCUAAUACCCCGGGCGGAUGACGGUACCGGAAGAAUAAGCACCGGCUAACUUCGUGCCAGCCGCCGCCGUAA